rnacentral:rRNA from 1 species
CUGGCGGCGUGUUACACAUGCGCUGAAACGGGGUCCAACCGAACUUCGGUGUGGUAGACGACCUAGUGGCGAACGGGUGCGUAACACGUGAGGAACCUGCCCCGGUCUCUGGGAUAACAGUCGGAAACGACUGCUAAUACCGGAUACCGUCGGACCAUCGCAUGGUGGACCGACGAAAGGGUUACCGGAUCGGGAGGGUCUCGCGGCCUAUCAGCUUGUUGGUGAGGUAACGGCUCACCAAAGCAUUGACGGGUAGCUGGUCUGAGAGGAUGAUCAGCCACACUGGGACUGAGACACGGCCCAGACUCCUACGGGAGGCAGCAGUGGGGAAUAUUGCACAAUGGGCGAAAGCCUGAUGCAGCAACGCCGCGUGCGGGAAGAA